rnacentral:lncRNA from 1 species
AGGUCCGUAUGAUUUGAAAUACUUGCACACAAACCGCUCGAAAGCGUUCCUGGAAAUCUCAGCCCAAAAAAGGACGUUUAGUAAUUCUAAAAGGGACUACAGGAUGAAAAACAAUAGUUUUGGCAGUUAAAGUUUGAGAUUCGAUGGUGCCGUAGAUCCGUUUGGUCAUCAGGUGUAACGAGCCACACACAUGUCUAGCUAGAGUAGUGUGCUAGGCUCAGACUAGAGAAGAAACGGGGAACAAAGUGAUGAAAGAAUGAUCAUACCGAGGGAAUUCACUCAGAACUUACAAGAAUGAUAACGUGCUCCGACUGGAGCGCUUUAGUAACUGCUGGAAGGCUCUAGGCGAAUAAAGAUGGAAUGACUUCUAAUUUUUAGGUCCGUAUGAUUUGAAAUACUUGCACACAAACCACGCAAAACCGUUCCUAGAAAUCUCGGUCGAAAAAAGGACGUUUAGUAAUUCUAAAAGGGACUACAGGAUGAAAAACAAUAGUUUUGGCAGUUAAAGUUUGAGAUUCGAUGGUGCCGUAGAUCCGUUUGGUCAUCAGGUGUUACGAGCCACACCCAUGUCUAGCUAGAGUAGUGUGCUAGGUUCAGACUAGAGAAGAAACGGGGAACAAAGUGAUUAAAGAAUGAUCAUACCGAGGGAAUUCACUCAGAACUAACAAGAAUGAUAACGUGCUCCGACUGGAGCGGUUUAGGAACUGCUGGAAGGCUCUAGGGGAAUAAAGAUGGAAUGACUUCUAAUUUUUACGUCCGUAUGAUUUGAAAUACAUGCACACAAACCACGCAAAAGCGUUCCUGGAAAUCUCAGCCUAAAAAAGGACGUUUAGUAAUUCUAAAAGGGACUACAGGAUGAAAAAUAAUAGUUUGGGCAGUUAAAAUUUGAGAUUCGACGCUGCCGUAGAUCCGUUUGGUCAUCAG